rnacentral:rRNA from 1 species
GACGAACGCUGGCGGCGUGCCUAAUACAUGCAAGUAGAACGCUGAAGAAAGGAGCUUGCUUCUUUUGGAUGAGUUGCGAACGGGUGAGUAACGCGUAGGUAACCUGCCUUGUAGCGGGGGAUAACUAUUGGAAACGAUAGCUAAUACCGCAUAACAGCUUUUGACGCAUGUUAGAAGCUUGAAAGAUGCAAUUGCAUCACUACGAGAUGGACCUGCGUUGUAUUAGCUAGUAGGUAGGGUAACGGCCUACCUAGGCGACGAUACAUAGCCGACCUGAGAGGGUGAUCGGCCACACUGGGACUGAGACACGGCCCAGACUCCUACGGGAGGCAGCAGUAGGGAAUCUUCGGCAAUGGGGGCAACCCUGACCGAGCAACGCCGCGUGAGUGAAGAAGGUUUUCGGAUCGUAAAGCUCUGUUGUAAGAGAAGAACGUGUGUGAGAGUGGAAAGUUCACACAGUGACGGUAACUUACCAGAAAGGGACGGCUAACUACGUGCCAGCAGCCGCGGUAAAAC